AGUGAACGCUGGCGGUAGGCCUAACACAUGCAAGUCGAACGGCAGCACACUAAGAGCUUGCUCUUACGGGUGGCGAGUGGCGGACGGGUGAGGAAUACAUCGGAAUCUACUUUUUCGUGGGGGAUAACGUAGGGAAACUUACGCUAAUACCGCAUACGACCUACGGGUGAAAGCAGGGGAUCUUCGGACCUUGCGCGAUUGAAUGAGCCGAUGUCGGAUUAGCUAGUUGGUGGGGUAAAGGCCCACCAAGGCGACGAUCCGUAGCUGGUCUGAGAGGAUGAUCAGCCACACUGGAACUGAGACACGGUCCAGACUCCUACGGGAGGCAGCAGUGGGGAAUAUUGGACAAUGGGCGCAAGCCUGAUCCAGCCAUACCGCGUGGGUGAAGAAGGCCUUCGGGUGGUAAAGCCCUUUUGUUGGGAAAGAAAAGCAGCAGGUUAAUACCCCGCUGUUCUGACGGUACCCAAAGAAUAAGCACCGGCUAACUUCGUG
rnacentral:rRNA from 1 species